AAUGCAAUUUCUUGGUCAUAUAGCAGUUGUGUGUUUAGAUUUUUAGUAAACUUCCAAACUGUUUGCAAAAAUGGCUGUACAAUUUACAUUUCUACCAGCAAU
rnacentral:pre_miRNA from 1 species